rnacentral:rRNA from 1 species
UGCGUAGGUGGUUUCUUAAGUCAGGAGUGAAAGGCUACGGCUCAACCGUAGUAAGCUCUUGAAACUGGGAAACUUGGGUGCAGGAGAGGAAAGUGGAAUUCCUAGUGUAGCGGUGAAAUGCGUAGAUAUUAGGAGGAACACCAGUAGCGAAGGCGGCUUUCUGGACUGUAACUGACACUGAGGCACGAAAGCGUGGGGAGGCAAAACA